GAGGGUAUAGCUCAAGUGGUAGAGUGCCUGCUUAGCGUGCAUGAGGUCCUGGGUUCAAUCCCCAGUAUCUCCA
rnacentral:tRNA from 1 species